rnacentral:tRNA from 1 species
GGAUGUAGCUCAGUUGGCUAGAGCGCCAGAUUGUGGCUCUGGAGGCCGUGGGUUCGAGUCCCACCUUU